rnacentral:SRP_RNA from 1 species
GGGCAGGUUAGGCUGGCGUGCUAGCCCUACGCCGUAUCGCAAAUGGGCUUUAUGGCGGGCCGCAAGAGGAGGAGUGAUAUGCCUUUCAGCAAGUCUUUACUUGGACAAUGAGGCCUUGUCCUGCUUGAUCCAGGCAUGAUGAACCGGGUCAGGCCCGGAAGGGAGCAGCCCUAAGUCAUGCUGUUGGAUGCUUGCAGGGUUACAGGGCUGAGAAAGGGUAAAGGUAGCUUGCUGAGAGGCAUAGAAGCAACUCCUCGAACCUGCCC